rnacentral:tRNA from 1 species
GAGGGUAUAGCUCAGUGGUCGAGCGUAUGCCUAGCACGCACAAGGUCCUGGGUUCAACCCUUAGUACCUCCA